rnacentral:rRNA from 1 species
UACGUAGGGGGCAAGCGUUGUCCGGAUUUAUUGGGCGUAAAGAGCUCGUAGGCGGUUUGGUAAGUCGGGUGUGAAAUCUCCACGCUCAACGUGGAGGGGCCACUCGAUACUGCCAUGACUCGAGUCCGGUAGAGGAGUGUGGAAUUCCCGGGUGUAGCGGUGAAAUGCGCAGAUAUCGGGAGGAACACCCGUAGCGAAGGCGGCACUCUGGGCCGGAACUGACGCUGAGGAGCGAAAGCGUGGGGAGCGAACAGG